rnacentral:rRNA from 2 species
CUCGGAUCAGGUAGGGAUACCCGCUGAA